rnacentral:rRNA from 1 species
GACGAACGCUGGCGGCGUGCUUAACACAUGCAAGUCGAACGGAAAGGCCCUGCUUUUGUGGGGUGCUCGAGUGGCGAACGGGUGAGUAACACGUGAGUAACCUGCCCUUGACUUUGGGAUAACUUCAGGAAACUGGGGCUAAUACCGGAUAGGAUCUCCUGCUGCAUGGUGGGCGUUGGAAAGUUUCGGCGGUUGGGGAUGGACUCGCGGCUUAUGAGCUUGUUUGUGGGGUAGUGGCUUACCAAGGGUGUGACGGGUAGCCUGCCUGAGAGGGUUACCGGCGACAUUGGGACUGAGAGACGGACCAGACUCCUACGGGAGGCAGCAGUGGGGAAUAUUGCACAAUGGGGGGAAGCCUGAGACAGCAACGCCGCGUGCGGGAUGACGGCCUUCGGGUUGUAAACCGCUGUCGCCUGUGACGAAGCGUGAGUGACGGUAAUGGGUAAAGAAGCACCGGCUAACUACGUG